AGACGUUCCUCCUCGCAUUUGCCCUCCAGUUUACAAUCACUAACCCUUCCACGCAUGAGUGAACUUGGAAAAUCAUUUAGCAUGGAAAUUGGCUGAACCGGUUAGCAAACGUCAGCACAGCACCUUUUAAGGAGGAGACUCAGUCAAAGAGACAAGAAGAAAUUGAUGCUGCUGGAGUAUCAGGAGAGGUGACUGCCCAUUCGAGAAGGAAGGGCUGAUGAGAUUGAUUGUAUGUAUGUCUUGAAUAGGCCAAGGAUAUCAUCAAACAAUGGGUCUAAGAUUUGGAACUACAGAAUGACAUAAGUCGAACUUCAAGAACAUACAGACCUCUUAGAGAGUCCAUGAGAUCUUCUCCAGCAGCUUACCUACCUACACUUACUGUCGCCAAGUUCCAAUGGGCAUUUACUAGAGUCCGCUUUAACGCCCUCCUUUUGAAAGUCUUAGAGGGGAGAUACUGCAAUAUUCCAGUUUCCCAACGGUUAUGCCCAUGUGAUUCCAUGUGAGUCAAUAGCCCAUGUUCUCUUGCAAUGUGUAUUCUACCUAGAUCUUUGGACUAGGUUAAUUCAGCCCUUACUAAACAAAUUCGGCAGCUCAUUUGAAUGAAUUUUAUAUUAUAUGUCUCUUAUCUGAUAAAGAUUUAAAUGUCACACACCAAGUAGCCAAAUUCUGUUUUUCAGACACAAGAGCUCGAUGUGCCUUGGUAGCUCCUCGUUUCCAUGGAGUUGGAAAGUAUUUUACAAGUAGCUUUAUAGUUUUUAGUGUUAAUGUUAGCAUUUUAGAAUUUAGUCCUUUUGCUUCUUUUUAUGAUUAUAUUGUUUUAUUAUGAUUGACUGCACUGCUGUGUUAUGUUUAUUCUGGUCUAAGACUGUAGUAAAGGCAAUCAAAUCUUCUCUCCUGCAACACUCAACACUUGUGUAAAUAAACUGAAUAUUAGAAAGACA